GAGCAGUUAACUGGAAUAAAAGACGGUGGAGGGAUGGAGGCGGCAUUUUGUACUGUAAUGUACUUUAACUCUCUUAUUUGGCUGCUGAAUGGAGGAAAAAUUGUAAAGUUACUUCAUGAACAUAUAGAGAAGAGAGAAGAACAGACGCUGCAGGACAACAGACAGAAACCAGCCUGGGAGAAAGUUCCCUGAAGUCUCGGUCCGGAGGGCUGACGGUCGCGGUGAUUUAUUAUCAUCACAGACACUCGCUUUUCAGUUCACACCAAGAUGCAGCCCUGAUUCUAUUUCCAGAGGUGGAUCAACAAUUUACUUUUUGCUGUGGAAACCAGAUGGUGAAAAGUUCACUUCCUCCUCUUCCCCGUUCAGCAUAUUUUCAGUGUUUCCUCCUCGCAGCCACAGCGGUCCAGAGCUCGACCAGAAGUCUGUUCUGCAGCAGACAAUGGGUGACAGGUUCUGAGAAGCACGCGGACUGUGAGGUCGGCACCGUGAAUGCGAGCUAAUGAUGCUGGAGGGAAAUAAUGAGAUCCAGUUACACGACAGGAUCAGACUCUCUGCUGGGUCCUCGGGGAUAAAUUUGUCUUAAUCCCUCCAGCAUGUCUGUCAGGCUGCUGCACCGCUGGAUUACCUGCUGAGCCCGAAAAACAGAACUGUCACAAUCGAGGUUCACGAAGUGGAAACAGGCAGGAAGGACAUUCAGCCCAGACUCGCUCGAACUCUCCAGAAAACAGAUUACAUCUGAAUUUAUCUUUGUGCAACCAGGUGAAAGUCACAUAACAGUUAAACAAGACUUUCCUUCCCACAAGGUGCUUUCUGGGUAAAUAUUACAGGUGGAUGGCUCUGCGUACGUCACUUCACACCUGGAAUCUCAACGCAUGUCAUAAAAGGUCCUCCAAUUGUCAAAUGCUUGAGUAAAAGUAAAAAUAUCAUGUUAGAAUAUUAAUUAACAAGAAAGUCACGUA